rnacentral:lncRNA from 1 species
UUUUUUUUUUUUUUUUUUUUUUUUUUUUUUGGAACAUGCUGAAUUAGGGUACCUGCGGAGCAUUCAAGGGAAUGGGUGUGGUAGGUAAUUGGCUAUGUAAAUGUGCAGUUUAGGAGAGAGACCUGGGGUGGAGACACAGGCAGACGUCUUGCAUUAAUCACACUCACUUCUAAGCAAAGAGACAAGUUCAAGUUCCAAACACAUACGCUUUACUACUUAAGAGAACUUUCUGUUUAUACUCCAUCUUUUCAAUCAGAAGUGUCUUCAUAAAAUUCUUGUCAUUCCUGCACUCAACAAUCAAAAAAUUAUAGGAGAAGUACCAUAUUUAAUUGAUAGUAUUCCUCUAAAAUUCAAAACUUUAAGUGACAUUAAUUCUCUUUUCCCAUCUUGUGCAGACUUUCAAGAAUAAUUAUCUGAUCAGGAAGUUCAAAAGUUCAGAUAUUAUUUUAACUGCCUUUCUCAAUUUAAAUUCUUACUUCACCUUCUGCAACAGUCAGGAAUGAUUCUACCACUUUAUUUCCUUCGUGGAGGAAAUGAUUCCUGAGAAGUGCUGCCAACAGAAACCAGUGUGAGAAACCUUAAUGAGAGUGGCUUUAUUCUAGAAGCUCUUGGAAAGCCCACUUUGGUUAGGGGGUGUGUCACUCUUCUUGUCAUAUUUUCCAUCUCAAAAGGGCUUUUUAAUGUGGUUAUAUUACUGCCCAGCACGGAGGAAUUUUGGCAGGCAAUUUUUUUUACAUUAGCAUGGAAUUUUUUUUGUGGCCAGAUGAUAGCUUAAGAUCAUUUGCUGCUGUUCUGUUAAGAAUCAAAGAAAGGAAGGACUCAUUACGCCUUUUCCUUCCUCCAACAAUGAAGGCAUUUAAGACAAGAGCGUUUUGCUUCCUUUGAGGCACGGAAGUAUUGCUAACUUUCUGUAUGCUUAGGAGAAUAAAGUAGUUUUGCAACAAUACUACAGAAGGCCUUUCUCUCGAUCUUAACACCAGCUAAAAAUCGCUCUUCUCCAAGAAAAGAGUGCAGCGAAUCAAAGAGAUGAACAUUAUCACUCACCUCUUCCAAAGCUUCCUGGAUACAUCCCACAAACCGAAACACACUCCAGCACAUUUUCUAGGAAGAUUUUCCUGAUAAUCCAUUAAAGAAAAUUGAUUGGCAAAAGGCUGACUGAAGAAACUGGGGUUUUACUCCAGGAAAAUAACUUUUCAAUAAAAGAAUAGAAAUGUUGUCUUUAUAAUUGGAAGAAUUAUUAUUAUUAUUAUUAUUAUUAUUUUUGUCUUUUUGCCAUUUCUUGGGCCGCUCCUGCGGCAUAUGGAGGUUCCCAGGCUAGGGGUCUAAUCAGAGCUGUAACCAUCAGCCUACACCAGAGCUACAGCAACUCAGGAUCCGAGCCGUGUCUGUGACCUACACCACAGCUCAUGGCAACACUGGAUCCUUAACCCACUGAGCAAGGCCAGGGAUCGAACCUUCAACCUCAUGGUUCCUAGUCAGAUUCAUUAACCACUGUGCCACGACAGGAACUCCUGGAAAAAUUAGUUUUAUUCAUGAUCAAAGCACAGAACUUUUAGUCUUUCAUGGAACUCCUCCAAUCACAGUGUAAGGAACAGGACCCUGCGAGCUAGACAUU